AUUGAACGCUGGCGGCAGGCCUAACACAUGCAAGUCGAGCGGAGCGGCGGACGGGUGAGUACUGCCUAGGAAUCUGCCUGGUGGUGGGGGACAACUCCGGGAAAGGGGAGCCAAUAACACAGAAGAUAAGAUGAGCCUAUGUCGGCUUAGAUAGUUGGUGGGGUAAAGGCCUACCAAGGCGGCGAUCCGUAAGUGGUCGGAGAGGAUGAUCAAUCACACUGGAACUGAGACACGGUCCAGACUCCUACGGGAGGCAGCAGUGGGGAAUCUUGGGCAAUGGGCGAAAGCCUGAUCCAGCCAUGCCGCGUGUGUGAAGAAGGUCUUCGGAUUGUAAAGCACUUUUAGUUGGGAGGCGUUACCAACAGAAUAAGCACCGGCUAACUUCGUGCCAGCAGCCGCGGUAAUUC
rnacentral:rRNA from 1 species